AAACUUUUAACAAUGGAUCUCUUGGUUCCGGCAUCGAUGAAGAACGCAGCGAACUGCGAUAAUUAAUGUGAAUUGCAGAAUUCAGUGAAUCAUCGAGUCUUUGAACGCACAUUGCGCCCCCUGGUAUUCCGGGGGGCAUGCCUGUCCGAGCGUCAUU
rnacentral:rRNA from 2 species